AUGCACAGGAAAGAGAAGGCAGAUGACAGUAGCUAUCCUCCUUCAAUACUGAGGAAAAGGCAACCUGUGGAUCAAGCUGUGGGGGAAAAGCGGAAAGUAGAGAGAAGGGUUCGAUUUCGUGAGCCAGAAGUCAUUGAACAUGCCAUUUCCUGCUGUGACUACGUAGUGGUAGAUGACAGGUCAUCAUCUGGAUUGCCUAUGCUCCUGUGGCUCUCAUUUUGUGCAGUGCUGAUCCUUGCUGUGAGUCUCUACUACACCAGCAUGAAGCAAGAUGUCAAAGUCCUGGAGGAAUUUCAAUCCCGACUUGUUAUCUUCUUUCUUCAUAUAAGACACGUUGCUCAGAGAUGUUGGACUUGGUUUGUGAAGCAGUAGCAAUGUCCUUCAGCCUGACACUGUUAAGCAGCAUGAGUCAGUGCAAAACUCCCAGUUUACUCCAGCCACAUGCAAGGAAACACUGUCCACCUCAAAGAGCAAGAAAAUCACCCCUGUUGUGCAUCAUCCAGCAGCCACUUCUUUUUUCUUCUUUGUUUGUUUUUCCACACCAAUGAACAGUCAUUACCAGUGCCUUGAGUUCUCACCAAACUCAUGCUCCAUCACCCUGAACAGCAAACAAGUAUCUCAGUUUUGUCCCCCAUAGUUUAUGAACUGCUGAUAUGAGGAGCAAAAGUAGAGAGAGAAACAGAUUGAUCUGUGCAGGCAGCAGCAAGCUCUGAGGAAAAAUCUCCUGAGUCUCAGGUCAAGGCUUUAGAUAUCAAAUCACCUUUCUCCUUAAGUCUCCUAAGAGCUAUUCUGCAAAAGUUAAAAUAAAGCAGAACUAUUGCACCA
rnacentral:lncRNA from 1 species